UUUUAAGUAAACCUUGAAAUAUUUGAUCAAUUGUUGAAGAAGCUUGAUGAAGAAGUUACACAAGAUACCCAGAUGCAUUAGGGUUUCCAAGGCAAACCAACUCCAAACUCUUGUAGGAUUCUUGAUCAUAAUACCAUGUAAAGAUAAUAGGGACUCAUAUAUGAUGCCUAGAGACAUUUUGGAUCAUUUCUUGGUUGAGACCUUAGCAAUGAAGGUCUUAAACCUUAGAUGUGAGCUUG
rnacentral:lncRNA from 1 species